AAAAAAACUACUUCAAUCUUCAAAAAAGGCGAUGAAAUAAAUAUAUUACGCCAUUCUAACCACCUAAAUAAAAGGAAGAUUGGUGGUACUGUGGACUCCUCUGAUCGAAAAAAAAGCUUUGGAUCUGACCAGCGCGAAGCAAUAUCAGCGGGCCCAGCUUGGAAGAAAGGCAAGAAAACCUAACCAAAACCGCUCGUCACAAUCGGCAGCUCAACCGAUUUAGACACUGAGAGCUUAGACGAAAUCAAUUUGAAUACAACGACCGACGAAACGCAAUC